CCGACCCUCAGUAGGAGC
rnacentral:snRNA from 1 species